UGAAUGGCCCUCCUGGAAGUCGGCCACUUUGAGGAAGAGAAUUCUUCCUGCACCAGGCAGAAUUCCCUCCAGCAGUCUGUUACACAAGAGGCCCGCAUGGAGACUACUGACAGUCUCACAGGUUCACUUGUCCCGGCUUGCAGGAAUGUAGCCCCAUCGGGCCAGGUUCGUUUCACUGAGCCCUGGGUCUGAGGGCGAAGCCCUGCUGUGGACCUUCUGAUGAACAUAAAUGCAUCCUGACCACAACCAGCCAAGAGCCCUCCCUGGAUCCUGCCAGCUCUGUGGUCCCUGAUGAAGAUGUAGCUCUCAGCCCUGAUGAUGCAGCUCCCGUGCCCUGCCUGCCUGCCUGCCGCUCAACUCCCUAUCAUACUGUUCAUAGACUUACCCUCUGAAACUACAGCCAAUCCUCCAAUUAAAUGUUUUCUUCUUU
ensembl:processed_transcript 1810021B22Rik RIKEN cDNA 1810021B22 gene